CCUACGGAGGCAGCAGUGGGGAAUACUGCACAAUGGGGGAAACCCUGAUGCAGCGACGCCGCGUGAGUGAAGAAGUAAUUCGUUACGUAACGCUCUAUCAGCAGGGAAGAAACACUGCCCUUACGGUCAGCAGACGGUACCUGAAGAAAAAGCAUCGGCUAACUCCGUGCCAGCAGCCGCGGUAAUACGGAGGAUGCGAGCGUUCUCCGGAUUUAGUGGGUUUAAAGGGUGCGUAGGCGGAAUGCCAAGUCAGCGGUAAAAUCGCGGGGCUCAACCUCGCUCCGCCGGUGCAACUAGCGUUCUUGAGUGUGCGAGAAGUAUGCGGAAUGAGUGGUGUAGCGGGGAAAUGCAUAGAUAUCACGCAGAACUACGAUUGCGAAGGCAGCAUACCGGCGCCCAACUGACGCUGAAGCACGAAAGCGUGGGUAUCGAACAGGAUUAGAUACCCGUGUAGUC
rnacentral:rRNA from 1 species